rnacentral:lncRNA from 1 species
UAAAACUUUGUUCUACUAUCAGUGACUGCUCAUACUCAACAAGUCUAUAAUCAGUAGGCAAGCCUAAUAGGUCUUUGACACUUUGGUCCUAAUUUAACACUGUAUACUCUCUAAUCACCUAGAUAUCAUGUUCUAUGAUUUUCUCCUAAACACCUGAAAUCGUUGUUUGAGACAUGCACUUACUUUGUUUGUGGAGGUAAAAUGUUAACCUUUCAUUGUUCCCUCAUUAAUGCAGUCCUAACUAUUUUGGUUGACACUGAUAUUUUCCCCUUUAAGUACCUUAGAAUGGCCUAGAACUACCUAAACUAUGGUCCUAAAUACCGCCAGGGCCACAAAGAAGGGACGAGCGGUACACGCAUAGGAUAUCUUUCAAGGUUUCUAGAACUCUUUAGGCUAUGACCGUGGGGAUUGAAUUGGAUUGUAAGGAUGUGAUGACUAUGCACUAUUGUCACGUAUAUCCCCUCAUUGAGGAGUGAUUACAGAACAUUGUGUAGGUAUGACCAUGUAAGCUAAUAAACCUAGGGCCCCUCUUUACCAACUCCCGUUGUUAAAAUGAAUUUACUUUUCUUUCCAUAUGUGCAAAUUGCUUAAACCUUUUCCCUUUUUUUCUUUACAUGAAUCAUACAUGUACUUAGAAUGUCUAAACAUGCCUUUAUUUGCGAGUAUGUGCUAAAAGUGUUUAUUUGUUAAAAUGAAUAAUUCACAUUGUUUAAGCUCAACUAAGACCCACCAUUAUUGGCUGCAAAGGGUGCCUAACACCUUCCCCUCAAGGUUAUUUCGAGCCUUACCCUAUUUAUGGUAUUGCAAACUAGUCUAUGAGUUAACAACUCUAGGUGCCCUAACGCACCAUAAUCCGUUUGGUGGCGACUCUUCAAAUACCCAAUUCCCAAAACGAAACUAUUCCCCAAUGAACGUCGAAACUCGGACUUCCCAGCAAAGGGAAAGAAGGGGGCGCAAUAGUGGCCAUUGAUACAGAUUUUCCUACCGGUCCUAAGAACAACGUCCGUAGAGAUAUCUGAUCGGCUGCAUAAAACAUGUAUGGUGGUAAAGAUGGUGGGAUCAACUUUUGGGUAAUCAUCGAAGUAUUACAGGUUCAACAGGAAGCGAUACCACUUUGUUACGGCCGAAACCUGGGGAGGCAUGGUAAGAACUCGUGUCGUACUGGCCCGAGCGAACCACUCUGUAACUCAUUUUUCUCUCUCUUAUCUAUCAUGGGCCAAAUGGCUACAAUUCGUAAUAUAUAACCAUAAGUGGCAAAAUACUGUAUUAUUGAACCAAUUUUGUUAAAACAUGAAUACAGAUGACCGUCAAGGCCCCUGACAUAUUUUAAAAAAUGAACCUUUGUCUACAAAGCCUCUAAGAUUGUUUGCCAUCAAAUGGGACAUGGUUCCGACCUACCCAUAUGUCUGUAACAAAACUCUGAUAUGAUGACUUAUAGGCUCGGAUGCACCCCAAAUGAAAUGAAGUCUUACCGAUCUUUUGCUAAAUGCUAAUCUCCUC